GCGGACAUAGCUCAAUUGGUCAGAGCACGAGACUGUGGAUCUCGGGGUUGCGGGUUCGAGUCCCGUUGUCCGCCCA
rnacentral:tRNA from 1 species